UAAGGCUGAUCUCUGAGCGGAACAAAAACCGCUAAAGUGAGUUGCGCGCCAUAGAAGCCGUGUGUUACUUCUUGGUAUGCUUCACAAUCUCUGUUCGAAGUGCAGAGAAGCACACAACAAUUCGCCGUCAGAAACAAGCGUCUUGCACAGGGAAGUGCGUACCAAACGCGACCUUGAGUUGUGACGUAUUGCAACGCGUGUAGGUAAACAAAUUUUGGAGAAAGGCUUUGUGAGUACCUGUUCAACCGGGUAAAGUAACCUCGCAAGGUCUUUU
rnacentral:ncRNA from 1 species